AACGCUGGCGGCGUGCCUAAUCCAUGCAAGUCGAGCGAACCGACGAGGAGCUUGCUCCUCUGACGUUAGCGGCGGACGGGUGAGUAACACGUGGAUAACCUACCUAUAAGACUGGGAUAACUUCGGGAAACCGGAGCUAAUACCGGAUAAUAUAUUGAACCGCAUGGUUCAAUAGUGAAAGACGGUUUUGCUGUCACUUAUAGAUGGAUCCGCGCCGCAUUAGCUAGUUGGUAAGGUAACGGCUUACCAAGGCAACGAUGCGUAGCCGACCUGAGAGGGUGAUCGGCCACACUGGAACUGAGACACGGUCCAGACUCCUACGGGAGGCAGCAGUAGGGAAUCUUCCGCAAUGGGCGAAAGCCUGACGGAGCAACGCCGCGUGAGUGAUGAAGGUCUUCGGAUCGUAAAACUCUGUUAUUAGGGAAGAACAAAUGUGUAAGUAACUAUGCACGUCUUGACGGUACCUAAUCAGAAAGCCACGGCUAACUACGUG
rnacentral:rRNA from 1 species